rnacentral:sRNA from 1 species
AUGAAUAUUAGAAAAA